GCUGUAGCAGCUCAGUGGUUAUGGCUUCAAGUUGCAAAUAAAAAGGUCAUGUGUUCAAAUCACAACAACACCA